rnacentral:rRNA from 1 species
UACGAAGGUGUCGAACGUUGUCCGGAAUAACUGGGCGUAAAGGGCGCGUAGGCGGUCGGGUAAGUGGGAUGUGAAAGCUCUGGGCUCAACCCAGGAAUUGCAUUCCAUACUGCUCGACUUGAGUUCGGUAGAGGAGGGCGGAAUUCCAGGUGUAGCGGUGAAAUGCGUAGAGAUCGGGAAGAACAUCGGUGGCGAAGGCGGCCUGCUGGGCUCUUGCUGACACUGAGGCGCGACAGCGUGGGGAGCAAACAGG